GAGAUUCAAACAGCAGAUAAUACAAGCCGAAGUUUUCUUUCUAUGGAAGAGUUGAUGCGCCUUUUAAGAAGUGAACAACCAAGUUAUUUGCCUGGAAAAGUCUCCUGAAAUACUGAAGUUAUGCUAAAGAAGGAGAAGAGAAAGGAAGCUGCAGUCCCUGUAUAACUCUUAAAUUUUUAAUUUGGAGUUCCUCUUCUUUGGUGCAACAAUCUUUCUGCAUGCAGAUCCAUGUGGCACUCAUCUCAUCAUUCUGAGGGAUGAAAGAUGCAUGGGGAAUAAUGCAUGUGGUUAUUUCUAUUUCUCUCAAGUGCACAUUAUCCAUCAAGAUUUAAAUCAUUUUGAAAUAUUAAUAUAAUGAUCAAAAAUUAACUUUUAUACAUGUUAUUAGGUAGAACCCACAGAAAACAAUAAAGCAGGAGAGAAAAGAGGAUGGCAGUUUACCCAGGAAACAUAGGUUGUUCAAAGCUUUGCAAUGAUAUUCUCAAUUCAGAGCAAUGAAGAACAGAAUGCUGUCUUCCCAUAAUGAUGGCAUUCAAUUAUCACUAGACUUACAAGACUACAGAAAAUUUCUCAAGAACCAGUAAGGAUCAGACACAGCCAAUGACAAUACUGAAGAAGCUUGCCAGUGGAGAAUGAAAGCUCAAUUACACAAAUUACCUUGUUGAACUAGUGCCAGAAAUAAAAUGUGAUGAAGGACAAACUCAUUAA